GAUGAACGCUGGCGGCGUGCCUAAUACAUGCAAGUCGAGCGAACAGACGAGGAGCUUGCUCCUCUGACGUUAGCGGCGGACGGGUGAGUAACACGUGGAUAACCUACCUAUAAGACUGGGAUAACUUCGGGAAACCGGAACUAAUACCGGAUAAUAUAUUGAACCGCAUGGUUCAAUAGUGAAAGACGGUUUUGCUGUCACUUAUAGAUGGAUCCGCGCCGCAUUAGCUAGUUGGUAAGGUAACGGCUUACCAAGGCAACGAUGCGUAGCCGACCUGAGAGGGUGAUCGGCCACACUGGAACUGAGACACGGUCCAGACUCCUACGGGAGGCAGCAGUAGGGAAUCUUCCGCAAUGGGCGAAAGCCUGACGGGGCAACGCCGCGUGAGUGAUGAAGGUCUUCGGAUCGUAAAACUCUGUUAUUAGGGAAGAACAAAUGUGUAAGUAACUAUGCACGUCUUGACGGUACCUAAUCAGAAAGCCACGGCUAACUACGUG
rnacentral:rRNA from 1 species